rnacentral:rRNA from 1 species
UUUGGGCGAGUCUCCCUUCUCGGGAAACUCUCUCAACCCAACGAACCCUUGACCUCAAAUCGGGUGAGACUACCCGCUGAACUUAAGCAUAUCAAUAAGCGGAGGA